GGGUUGUGAGGUUAAGCGACUAAGCGUACACGGUGGAUGCCCUGGCAGUCAGAGGCGAUGAAGGACGUGCUAAUCUGCGAAAAGCGUCGGUAAGGUGAUAUGAACCGUUAUAACCGGCGAUGUCCGAAUGGGGAAACCCAGUGCAAUUCGUUGCACUAUCGUUAACUGAAUACAUAGGUUAACGAGGCGAACCGGGGGAACUGAAACAUCUAAGUACCCCGAGGAAAAGAAAUCAACCGAGAUUCCCCCAGUAGCGGCGAGCGAACGGGGAGCAGCCCAGAGUCUGAAUCAGCUUGUGUGUUAGUGGAACGGUCUGGAAAGUCCGACGGUACAGGGUGAUAGUCCCGUACACCAAAAUGCACAGGUUGUGAACUCGAAGAGUAGGGCGGGACACGUGGUAUCCUGUCUGAAUAUGGGGGGACCAUCCUCCAAGGCUAAAUACUCCUGACUGACCGAUAGUGAACCAGUACCGUGAGGGAAAGGCGAAAAGAACCCCGGCGAGGGGAGUGAAAAAGAACCUGAAACCGUGUACGUACAAGCAGUGGGAGCACCUUCGGGUGUGACUGCGUACCUUUUGUAUAAUGGGUCAGCGACUUAUAUUCUGUAGCAAGGUUAACCGUAUAGGGGAGCCGCAGGGAAACCGAGUCUUAACUGGGCGUUAAGUUGCAGGGUAUAGACCCGAAACCCGGUGAUCUAGCCAUGGGCAGGUUGAAGGUUGGGUAACACUAACUGGAGGACCGAACCGACUAAUGUUGAAAAAUUAGCGGAUGACUUGUGGCUGGGGGUGAAAGGCCAAUCAAACCGGGAGAUAGCUGGUUCUCCCCGAAAGCUAUUUAGGUAGCGCCUCGUGAACUCAUCUUCGGGGGUAGAGCACUGUUUCGGCUAGGGGGUCAUCCCGACUUACCAACCCGAUGCAAACUACGAAUACCGAAGAAUGUUAUCACGGGAGACACACGGCGGGUGCUAACGUCCGUCGUGAAGAGGGAAACAACCCAGACCGCCAGCUAAGGUCCCAAAGUCAUGGUUAAGUGGGAAACGAUGUGGGAAGGCACAGACAGCCAGGAUGUUGGCUUAGAAGCAGCCAUCAUUUAAAGAAAGCGUAAUAGCUCACUGGUCGAGUCGGCCUGCGCGGAAGAUGUAACGGGGCUAAACCAUGCACCGAAGCUGCGGCAGCGACACUAUGUGUUGUUGGGUAGGGGAGCGUUCUGUAAGCCUGCGAAGGUGUGCUGUGAGGCAUGCUGGAGGUAUCAGAAGUGCGAAUGCUGACAUAAGUAACGAUAAAGCGGGUGAAAAGCCCGCUCGCCGGAAGACCAAGGGUUCCUGUCCAACGUUAAUCGGGGCAGGGUGAGUCGACCCCUAAGGCGAGGCCGAAAGGCGUAGUCGAUGGGAAACAGGUUAAUAUUCCUGUACUUGGUGUUACUGCGAAGGGGGGACGGAGAAGGCUAUGUUAGCCGGGCGACGGUUGUCCCGGUUUAAGCAUGUAGGCUGAUUGUCCAGGCAAAUCCGGAUAAUCAAGGCUGAGGUGUGAUGACGAGGCACUACGGUGCUGAAGUAACAAAUGCCCUGCUUCCAGGAAAAGCCUCUAAGCAUCAGGUAACAUUAAAUCGUACCCCAAACCGACACAGGUGGUCAGGUAGAGAAUACCAAGGCGCUUGAGAGAACUCGGGUGAAGGAACUAGGCAAAAUGGUGCCGUAACUUCGGGAGAAGGCACGCUGGUGUGUAGGUGAAGUCCCUGCGGAUGGAGCUGAGACCAGUCGAAGAUACCAGCUGGCUGCAACUGUUUAUUAAAAACACAGCACUGUGCAAACACGAAAGUGGACGUAUACGGUGUGACGCCUGCCCGGUGCCGGAAGGUUAAUUGAUGGGGUUAUCCGUAAGGAGAAGCUCUUGAUCGAAGCCCCGGUAAACGGCGGCCGUAACUAUAACGGUCCUAAGGUAGCGAAAUUCCUUGUCGGGUAAGUUCCGACCUGCACGAAUGGCGUAAUGAUGGCCAGGCUGUCUCCACCCGAGACUCAGUGAAAUUGAACUCGCUGUGAAGAUGCAGUGUACCCGCGGCAAGACGGAAAGACCCCGUGAACCUUUACUAUAGCUUGACACUGAACAUUGAGCCUUGAUGUGUAGGAUAGGUGGGAGGCUUUGAAGCGUGGACGCCAGUCUGCGUGGAGCCAACCUUGAAAUACCACCCUUUAAUAUUUGAUGUUCUAACGUUGGCCCCUGACCGGGGUUGCGGACAGUGUCUGGUGGGUAGUUUGACUGGGGCGGUCUCCUCCCAAAGCGUAACGGAGGAGCACGAAGGUUAGCUAAUCCUGGUCGGACAUCAGGAGGUUAGUGCAAUGGCAUAAGCUAGCUUGACUGCGAGCGUGACGGCGCGAGCAGGUGCGAAAGCAGGUCAUAGUGAUCCGGUGGUUCUGAAUGGAAGGGCCAUCGCUCAACGGAUAAAAGGUACUCCGGGGAUAACAGGCUGAUACCGCCCAAGAGUUCAUAUCGACGGCGGUGUUUGGCACCUCGAUGUCGGCUCAUCACAUCCUGGGGCUGAAGUAGGUCCCAAGGGUAUGGCUGUUCGCCAUUUAAAGUGGUACGCGAGCUGGGUUUAGAACGUCGUGAGACAGUUCGGUCCCUAUCUGCCGUGGGCGCUGGAGAAUUGAGGGGGGCUGCUCCUAGUACGAGAGGACCGGAGUGGACGCAUCACUGGUGUUCGGGUUGUCAUGCCAAUGGCACUGCCCGGUAGCUAAAUGCGGAAGAGAUAAGUGCUGAAAGCAUCUAAGCACGAAACUUGCCCCGAGAUGAGUUCUCCCUGAGACUUUAAGUCUCCUGAAGGAACGUUGAAGACGACGACGUUGAUAGGCCGGGUGUGUAAGCGCAGCGAUGCGUUGAGCUAACCGGUACUAAUGAACCGUGAGGCUUAACCUUACAACGCCGAAG
rnacentral:rRNA from 1 species